rnacentral:tRNA from 1 species
UUAAUAUGGCAGAAAAGUGCAAUAGUCUUAAACACUAUAAAUAAAGAAAUUAAUUAACUUCUUUUAUUAAA